rnacentral:rRNA from 1 species
AGGAUUCCCCUAGUAACUGCGAGUGAAGAGGGAAAAGCUCAAAUUUAAAAUCUGGCAUUCUGUUGGAUGUCCGAGUUGUAAUCUAGAGAAGAGUCUUCCGUGCUGGAACCGUGUACAAGUCUCUUGGAAUGGAGCGUCGUAGAGGGUGACAAUCCCGUCUCUGACACGGACUUCUGGUGCUCUUGUGAUGCCCUCUCAAAGAGUCGAGUUGUUUGGGAAUGCAGCUCAAAAUGGGUGGUAAAUUCCAUCUAAAGCUAAAUAUAGGCGAGAGACCGAUAGCGAACAAGUACCGUGAGGGAAAGAUGAAAAGAACUUUGAAAAGAGAGUUAAACAGUACGUGAAAUUGUUGAAAGGGAAACGAUUCAAGUCAGCCAUGUCGUACAGGAAUCAACCCCUUUCCCGAGGGGCUCACUUUCUGGUUUGACGGGUCAGCAUCAAUUUUGACCUUUGGACAAAGGCAAGAGGAAUGUGGCAUCUUUGGAUGUGUUAUAGCUUCUUGUCGCAUGUGAAGGUCAGGAUUGAGGAACUCGACAUGCCCUAUGGGUCGGGGCCUUGUGCCCACGUAACAUGUCUCGGAUGCUGGCGUAAUGGCUUG